GAUGAACGCUGGCGGCGUGCCUAAUACAUGCAAGUCGAGCGAACAGACGAGGAGCUUGCUCCUCUGACGUUAGCGGCGGACGGGUGAGUAACACGUGGAUAACCCACCUAUAAGACUGGGAUAACUUCGGGAAACCGGAGCUAAUACCGGAUAAUAUAUUGAACCGCAUGGUUCAAUAGUGAAAGACGGUUUUGCUGUCACUUAUAGAUGGAUCUGCGCUGCAUUAGCUAGUUGGUAAGGUAACGGCUUACCAAGGCGACGAUGCGUAGCCGACGUGAGAGGGUGGUCGCCCGCACUGGAGCUGAAACACGGACCAGACUCCUGCGGGAGGCAGCAGUAGGGAAUCGGCCGCAAUGGGCGAGAGCCUGACGGAGCAGCGCCACGUGAGUGAUGAAGGUCUUCGGAUCGUAAAGCUCUGUUAUUAGGGAAGAACAAAUGUGUAAGUAGCUAUGCACGUCUUGACGGUACCUAAUCAGAAAGCCACGGCUAACUACGUG
rnacentral:rRNA from 1 species